ensembl:lncRNA novel transcript
GGCAUUUUUUAUCUUACAGCUGCACUUCUUGAUAAACUAACAGCUGCCUGGGGCUCUGGCCGUGGAGCUAUGCCAGACAAGUUAAUAGGUAAUUCAGACCCUAAUACCUGGAAGGUAUUACUCUCUGAAUGGAUCACCACAUGCCUCCCAACAAUGUGACUGAAUUCAUUCUCUUGGGGCUCACACAGAAUCCACACUUGCAGAAAAUACUCUUUAUUGUAUUUUUAUUUAUUUUUCUAUUUACCAUGCUGGCCAAUCUGUUCAUUGUCAUCACCAUCUCCUGUAGCCCCACACUUUCAUCACCCAUGUACUUCUUUCUCACUUACUUAUCCUUUAUAGAUGCCUCCUACACCUCUGUCACAACCCCCAAAAUGAUCACCGACCUGCUCUACCAGAGGAGAACUAUUUCCUUGGCUGGCUGCCUGACUCAGCUCUUUGUGGAGCACUUGCUGGGAGGCUCAGAGAUCAUCCUCCUUAUUGUCAUGGCCUAUGACCGCUACGUGGCCAUCUGCAAGCCCCUGCACUACACAACCAUUAUGCAACAAGGGAUCUGCCACCUUCUGGUGGUGAUAGCCUGGAUUGGAGGCAUCCUGCAUGCCACUGUGCAGAUUCUUUUCAUGACCGACUUGCCCUUCUGUGGUCCCCAAUGUCAUUGACCACUUUAUGUGUGAUCUCUUCCCAUUGUUGAAACUUGCCUGCAGAGACACCUACAGACUUGGGAUGCUGGUGGCAGCCAACAGUGGAGCCAUGUGCUUGCUCAUCUUUUCCCUGCUCGUCAUCUCCUACAUAGUCAUCCUGAGCUCCCUGAAAUCCUAUAGCUCUGAAGGACAGCACAAAGCCCUCUCCACCUGUGGCUCCCACUUUACUGUCGUUGUACUCUUUUUUGUGCCUUGCAUAUUCACCUACAUGCAUCCUGUGGUCACCUACUCUGUGGACAAGUUGGUGACUGUGUUCUUUGCAAUCCUCACUCCCAUGUUAAAUCCUAUAAUUUACACUGUGAGAAACACAGAGGUAAAAAAUGCCGUGAGGAGUUUGUUGAGGAAAAGAGUAACAGUUUAUGCAUAAUGGCAAGAAAGUGAUGAUAUAUAUAAACAUGGAGGAUUAUAUCUGUGGUAAAUUGUGCAAGAGAAUUCACAAAUUUUACAGAUCAUUGACAAAAACUAAACAAACAAGCAAACAAUUUAAAAAGGUCCCCAGAAACUAACAUUUAUUGAGUACUUAGUAUUGGCUAGGUCUUUUUGCUAGGUAUUUUGAUAGAUUUUAACAUACUUUACCAACAUUUUAUGUUCAUGUGCAUUGAUUCUGGAUAUGCAAUGGAAAGAACAACCAUAAAUCCCUAGCUUGAUAAUUCUAGAGUAUGUUUUUUUCUAGUCUCACUGUUACUUUGCUAAAUUCUUCAUACAUAUGUUACAUACAUGAAGUUGACUUUUGAGUAGAAUCUUGAUCUCAGAACUUUUAAAAUUUUGCUUGGCUCAUGGUAAAGCAAAAAAGAGGCUAGAAAUCCCUAGACAUGUGUAGACGGAGGGUGACAAUUGAGCGAAAGAACCACUGGUGAUUUACUUCCUUUGU